rnacentral:rRNA from 1 species
GACGAACGCUGGCGGCGUGCUUAACACAUGCAAGUCGAACGGAAAGGCCCUGCUUUUGUGGGGUGCUCGAGUGGCGAACGGGUGAGUAACACGUGAGUAACCUGCCCUUGACUUUGGGAUAACUUCAGGAAACUGGGGCUAAUACCGGAUAGGAGCUCCUGCUGCAUGGUGGGGGUUGGAAAGUUUCGGCGGUUGGGGAUGGACUCGCGGCUUAUCAGCUUGUUGGUGGGGUAGUGGCUUACCAAGGCUUUGACGGGUAGCCGGCCUGAGAGGGUGACCGGCCACAUUGGGACUGAGAUACGGCCCAGACGCCAACGGGAGGCAGGAGUGGGGAAUAUUGCACAAUGGGCGGAAGCCUGAUGCAGCAACGCCGCGUGCGGGAUGACGGCCUUCGGGUUGUAAACCGCUUUCGCCUGUGACGAAGCGUGAGUGACGGUAAUGGGUAAAGAAGCACCGGCUAACUACGU